AGUCAUAUGCUUGUCCUAAGGAUUAAGCCAUGUAUGUGCCAGUAUAAGCGAUUUUUACGGCGAAACUGCGAAUGGCUCAUUAAAUCUGUUUUGGUCUACGCACCGAUUUCCCCGCUACAUGGAUAACCGUAGAAAAUCUAGAGCUAAUACAUGCGUCGAGGCGCGCUCGCGCGCCGUAUUUAUUAGAUACAAACCAAUGCCCUCUGGGCGUCUUGGGUGACUCACGAUAACUGAUCGAAUCGCACGCCCUCGGGCGGCGAUGCGGUGCUCGAGAUUCAGCCCUAUCAGCUUUGGAUGGUAGGGUAUUGGCCUACCAUGGCGUUGACGGGUAACGGAGAAUUAGGGUUCGAUUCCGGAGAGGGGGCAUGAGAAACGGCCACCACAUCCAAGGAAGGCAACAGGCGCGUAAAUUACCCAAUCGCGACUCGCGGAGGUAGCGACAGGAAAUAACAAUGCCGGGCUUCUACAAGUCUGGCCAUUGGAAUGAGAACAGCCUAAACCCUUUAUCGAGGAUCAAUUGGAGGGCAAGCCUGGUGCCAGCAGCCGCGGUAACUCCAGCUCCAAGAGCGUAUUCUAAUGUUGCUGCAGUUAAAAAGCUCGUAGCCGGACUUCGGGACGCGGGGGGCAUGCGCACGCUCUGGCCUUUUUGCGUCGGGUGUCGCGCCUCCCCCGCGCUCCAAACAAAACCUCGCGCCGCGCCYUGCUGGCCUUAAGUGGUCGGCGGGGAGGCUGCGCGUCUUUUACUGUGAGCAAAAUAGAGUGUUCAACACACGCCGUAGCGCGCCUGAAUACUUCAGCAUGGGAUAAUGAGAUAUGGCCCCGCAWUUCAAUGCGGCCGUUGUUGGUUUAGCCGCCGGGGCAAUGAUUAAUAGGGACGGUUGGGGGUAUCCGUAUUCCGGUGUCAGAGGUGAAAUUCUUGGAUUACCGGAGGACGAACGACUGCGAAAGCAUUUACCACGGAUGUUUUCAUUGGUCAAGAACGAAAGCCGGCUUAGCGAAGUUGAUUAGAUACCAACGUAGUGCCGCGCUGUAAACGAUGCCGACCGGGGAUGGGCCGUCGUUUCAUUUCAUAGAACACGGCCUGCACCCUGCGAGAAAUCACAAGUCUUCGGGUUCCGGGGGGAGUAUGGUGUCACCGCUGAAACUUAAACGCAUUGACGGAAGGGCACCACCAGGAGUGGAGCCUGCGGCUUAAUUUGACUCAACACGGGGAACCUGACCAGGGCCAGAUACAGUGAGGAUUGACAGACUGACAGCUCUUUCUUGAUUCUGUAGGUGGUGGUGCAUGGCCGUUUGUAGUUGGUGGAGUGAUUUGUCUGGUUUAUUCCGAUAACGAACGAGACCCCCGUCUGCUAACUAGCGAGGCGCAUACCCCUGGUAUGCGCAGCACUUUCCAAAGCUCGCUUCUUAGAGAGACUUUCGGUGCUUUAGCCGGAGGAAGUUGGGGGCAACAACAGGUCUGUGAUGCCCUUAGAUAUUCUGGGCCGCACGCGCGCUACACUGACACGCGCAACGAGUGCGCUCACUUGUGCUYCCCUUCNNGGGGGCGCGGUGGAAGACCUUCUGCGGCAGCAGCGGGGAAUCUUGGAAAUGCGUGUCGUGAUAGGGAUAGAUGCUUGCAAUUUUUCAUCUUGAACGAGGAAUUCCUUGUAAACGCAAGUCAUCAGCUUGCAUUGAAUAC
rnacentral:rRNA from 1 species